UUUGCAGAGCGUGACCUCCACUUUCUAACUCUGUGCACUUAAUGGCGGAAGAGAUGAAAUAUGCUCUUCUGCGGCUCAUUUUAUAACACUAGUUAAAGAAUGUAACGAAAUAUCGAAACAAAAAAAAACUUUCAACAACGGAUCUCUUGGCUCUCGCAUCGAUGAAGAACGCAGCGAAAUGUGAUAAGUAAUGUGAAUUGCAGAAUUCAGUGAAUCAUCGAAUCUUUGAACGCACCUUGCGCUCCCUGGUAUUCCGGGGAGCAUGUCUGUUUGAGUGUCAUGAACUCUUCAACCCACCGGUUUCUUGUAAACUGGCUGGUGUUUGGUUUCUGAGUGUUGCUCGUCCUUGUGACUGAGCUCAUUCGUAAUAUAUGAGCAUCUCUAAUUCGAAUUCGGAUUGACUCAGUGUAAUAGACUAUUCGCUGAGGACACACCUAGUGUGGCCGAAUAAGAUAAUUGUAGAAGCUUCUAACCCUUCUAGUCAUUUUAAGAUUAGACCUCAGAUCAGAUAGGACUACCCGCUGAACUUAAGCAUAUCAAUAAGCGGAGGAAAUGUCUCCGCGGCCG
rnacentral:rRNA from 1 species